CGUUUAUUGUGUUGUAAUUAAUACAAAAUAAUCAGCAAGACAUACUUGUUUUCAUGAAAUAACACAAGGAUGAAAAUUUGGAAUGUUGGAUCGUCUGAAUGUUUAUUUUUCUUGGUAUUACAAAGCAAAAGCAACGUCGAUUUUGUAAAUUCUUAUAUGACGACCAAUAUAUCAUCACCAAGUAUAAUCACAUUAUUUCUACUUUAAGCCCAAACGCACUGAUACACAAAAAUUGGCUUUUCUGCGACUUUAUAUAGCUAAUCAACCCAAUUUGCGGAGUAAAACCUACGUUUUAC
rnacentral:lncRNA from 1 species